UGCGGAGGGAUCAUUACCGAGUUUACAACUCCCAAACCCCUGUGAACAUACCAAUUGUUGCCUCGGCGGAUCAGCCCGCUCCCGGUAAAACGGGACGGCCCGCCAGAGGACCCCUAAACUCUGUUUCUAUAUGUAACUUCUGAGUAAAACCAUAAAUAAAUCAAAACUUUCAACAACGGAUCUCUUGGUUCUGGCAUCGAUGAAGAACGCAGCAAAAUGCGAUAAGUAAUGUGAAUUGCAGAAUUCAGUGAAUCAUCGAAUCUUUGAACGCACAUUGCGCCCGCCAGUAUUCUGGCGGGCAUGCCUGUUCGAGCGUCAUUUCAACCCUCAAGCCCCCGGGUUUGGUGUUGGGGAUCGGCGAGCCCUUGCGGCAAGCCGGCCCCGAAAUCUAGUGGCGGUCUCGCUGCAGCUUCCAUUGCGUAGUAGUAAAACCCUCGCAACUGGUACGCGGCGCGGCCAAGCCGUUAAACCCCCAACUUCUGAAUGUUGACCUCGGAUCAGGUAGGAAUACCCGCUGAACUUAAGCAUAUC
rnacentral:rRNA from 1 species